GCCCUUAUCUUUAAGUCUUUCAGUUAGCUUCGCCAUUUCAGCCUAUUCCAUCAACUUUUCUUGCCAGUGUUCUUUCGCUGGUUUUUGAUUGCCUUUCCAUUUUGAGCUAGUAAAAUUCCGGCCGCUGUUGUCACAUACAUGAAUAGAUUUUCCUUAUCUUUUGGUAAAUCCUUCCCUAAAGUACCUAAUAAAAAUGCUUCUGAUCUUUUAACAAAGGUUAUCUUAAAACGUUUUUUUCAUUUCAUUAUAGAUCAUCUCCCAAUAGGUGGAGCCAGGUGGGCCUAGGUCCAGGGGGAGGGGGGUUGCCACGGUGACAAGGACCGGUAAAAGCCACAGACUUGCAGGCGGCCAUUUUGGGUUAGCAGUGAGGCAAGUGGAGGAGAGAGCAGUUGGUGGCAGUUGACAGAGGACAAGGCGAGGCAAACAGUGGAUUCUUAUUUUCUCAGUUUCUUAUUUUGCUUCUUAUUUCAUUUAUUACUUGUUUUUCUCUUCUUGAAGAUGUGCCACAGGCUUUCGUCAUCCAGCAAUGGUGAGUAUUGGAGGAAACAAGAGUAGGGAGAGAAUAGCUGUCAACGUUUCCCUUUUUUGAAGAGAAAUUCCCUUAUUCUGAAUAGGAUUCCUUGCAACAAAAGGAAAAAGUUGACAGCUAUGAGGGAGAGGAUCCCAAAGACCUGCUCCCCGCUGCCAGGACUCUCAGUUGUGAGGAACUGACAGCCUGACUUUUGCUGGAGCCAGAAACAAGAUUUCUUGCUCCAGGUGAUGCAGAGCUGCCAGGAAGCUGCCUUUUAAAACAGUAAUAUUUUGAGCCCGUACUUCACUUUCCCAGCAGCUCCCCAUGCCCCAGAGACACUUUUAGCAUUACAUCUCCUCUACCUGUGGCAUUGUUCAGGAGUGGGGAAAGUGACCUCUUCACCCCGGAUCUCCAUUUGGUAUGGCCCUUUCCAGGUUUUUGCCUGUUCAUUGUGUUUGUCUUUCAUUUGUUCUCCUCUGUGUGUUGCCAGUACAAGCCACAAUUCUGUGGGUACUCUAGGUGGCGCAGAAAGCACCUAGAAGCUCCCUAGAGGUUGACGUGCCGAUCAAACUUCAGUUUUGAGCUCUUUAAAUUCCAAUUAGCAGUACUGGGGGUGGUUCAGAUUCUGGGGCAGUGCUUUUGUGCAGCAGAGGGUGUCACAGGGCCAGCCUACUUUCCCUUUAAAGCAAACUUGGGUCUCCAGCUGGUUUUGGACUACGGCUCCCAUCAUCCCUAGCUAGCAGGACCAAUAGGGAGGGAUGAUGGGAGCUGUAGUCCGGGAGCUGCUGGGGACCCAAGUUUGGGAAAGCCUCUUUUAAAGAAACUUUUGCGUUUUGCCCGGAAAGAUGGGACCUGUCCACGUUUGUAUUUUCUUGUAUUUUGUUUUCUUCGUGACCUUUGUGCGUUUAUUUUUUUAUUUUUUAAGAGGGCAAAUUGAAAGAGAAAUUGUAUGGCAAGUUGCAGAAGAAUAAAAG